GCCUGGGUGGCAGUCGGUUGAGCAUCUGACUUCAGCUCAGGUAAUGAUUUCGCAUUUGUGGGUUCAAGCCCCACACUGGGCU
rnacentral:tRNA from 1 species